GGUUAAGCGACUAAGCGUACACGGUGGAUGCCCUGGCAGUCAGAGGCGAUGAAGGACGUGCUAAUCUGCGAUAAGCGUCGGUAAGGUGAUAUGAACCGUUAUAACCGGCGAUUUCCGAAUGGGGAAACCCAGUGUGUUUCGACACACUAUCAUUAACUGAAUCCAUAGGUUAAUGAGGCGAACCGGGGGAACUGAAACAUCUAAGUACCCCGAGGAAAAGAAAUCAACCGAGAUUCCCCCAGUAGCGGCGAGCGAACGGGGAGCAGCCCAGAGCCUGAAUCAGUAUGUGUGUUAGUGGAAGCGUCUGGAAAGGCGCGCGAUACAGGGUGACAGCCCCGUACACAAAAAUGCACAUAUUGUGAGCUCGAUGAGUAGGGCGGGACACGUGGUAUCCUGUCUGAAUAUGGGGGGACCAUCCUCCAAGGCUAAAUACUCCUGACUGACCGAUAGUGAACCAGUACCGUGAGGGAAAGGCGAAAAGAACCCCGGCGAGGGGAGUGAAAAAGAACCUGAAACCGUGUACGUACAAGCAGUGGGAGCACGCUUAGGCGUGUGACUGCGUACCUUUUGUAUAAUGGGUCAGCGACUUAUAUUCUGUAGCAAGGUUAACCGAAUAGGGGAGCCGAAGGGAAACCGAGUCUUAACUGGGCGUUAAGUUGCAGGGUAUAGACCCGAAACCCGGUGAUCUAGCCAUGGGCAGGUUGAAGGUUGGGUAACACUAACUGGAGGACCGAACCGACUAAUGUUGAAAAAUUAGCGGAUGACUUGUGGCUGGGGGUGAAAGGCCAAUCAAACCGGGAGAUAGCUGGUUCUCCCCGAAAGCUAUUUAGGUAGCGCCUCGUGAAUUCAUCUCCGGGGGUAGAGCACUGUUUCGGCAAGGGGGUCAUCCCGACUUACCAACCCGAUGCAAACUGCGAAUACCGGAGAAUGUUAUCACGGGAGACACACGGCGGGUGCUAACGUCCGUCGUGAAGAGGGAAACAACCCAGACCGCCAGCUAAGGUCCCAAAGUCAUGGUUAAGUGGGAAACGAUGUGGGAAGGCCCAGACAGCCAGGAUGUUGGCUUAGAAGCAGCCAUCAUUUAAAGAAAGCGUAAUAGCUCACUGGUCGAGUCGGCCUGCGCGGAAGAUGUAACGGGGCUAAACCAUGCACCGAAGCUGCGGCAGCGACACUAUGUGUUGUUGGGUAGGGGAGCGUUCUGUAAGCCUGUGAAGGUGUGCUGUGAGGCAUGCUGGAGGUAUCAGAAGUGCGAAUGCUGACAUAAGUAACGAUAAAGCGGGUGAAAAGCCCGCUCGCCGGAAGACCAAGGGUUCCUGUCCAACGUUAAUCGGGGCAGGGUGAGUCGACCCCUAAGGCGAGGCCGAAAGGCGUAGUCGAUGGGAAACAGGUUAAUAUUCCUGUACUUGGUGUUACUGCGAAGGGGGGACGGAGAAGGCUAUGUUGGCCGGGCGACGGUUGUCCCGGUUUAAGCGUGUAGGCUGGUUUUCCAGGCAAAUCCGGAAAAUCAAGGCUGAGGCGUGAUGACGAGGCACUACGGUGCUGAAGCAACAAAUGCCCUGCUUCCAGGAAAAGCCUCUAAGCAUCAGGUAACAUCAAAUCGUACCCCAAACCGACACAGGUGGUCAGGUAGAGAAUACCAAGGCGCUUGAGAGAACUCGGGUGAAGGAACUAGGCAAAAUGGUGCCGUAACUUCGGGAGAAGGCACGCUGAUAUGUAGGUGAAGUCCCUCGCGGAUGGAGCUGAAAUCAGUCGAAGAUACCAGCUGGCUGCAACUGUUUAUUAAAAACACAGCACUGUGCAAACACGAAAGUGGACGUAUACGGUGUGACGCCUGCCCGGUGCCGGAAGGUUAAUUGAUGGGGUCAGCGCAAGCGAAGCUCUUGAUCGAAGCCCCGGUAAACGGCGGCCGUAACUAUAACGGUCCUAAGGUAGCGAAAUUCCUUGUCGGGUAAGUUCCGACCUGCACGAAUGGCGUAAUGAUGGCCAGGCUGUCUCCACCCGAGACUCAGUGAAAUUGAACUCGCUGUGAAGAUGCAGUGUACCCGCGGCAAGACGGAAAGACCCCGUGAACCUUUACUAUAGCUUGACACUGAACAUUGAGCCUUGAUGUGUAGGAUAGGUGGGAGGCUUUGAAGUGUGGACGCCAGUCUGCAUGGAGCCGACCUUGAAAUACCACCCUUUAAUGUUUGAUGUUCUAACGUUGACCCGUAAUCCGGGUUGCGGACAGUGUCUGGUGGGUAGUUUGACUGGGGCGGUCUCCUCCUAAAGAGUAACGGAGGAGCACGAAGGUUGGCUAAUCCUGGUCGGACAUCAGGAGGUUAGUGCAAUGGCAUAAGCCAGCUUGACUGCGAGCGUGACGGCGCGAGCAGGUGCGAAAGCAGGUCAUAGUGAUCCGGUGGUUCUGAAUGGAAGGGCCAUCGCUCAACGGAUAAAAGGUACUCCGGGGAUAACAGGCUGAUACCGCCCAAGAGUUCAUAUCGACGGCGGUGUUUGGCACCUCGAUGUCGGCUCAUCACAUCCUGGGGCUGAAGUAGGUCCCAAGGGUAUGGCUGUUCGCCAUUUAAAGUGGUACGCGAGCUGGGUUUAGAACGUCGUGAGACAGUUCGGUCCCUAUCUGCCGUGGGCGCUGGAGAACUGAGGGGGGCUGCUCCUAGUACGAGAGGACCGGAGUGGACGCAUCACUGGUGUUCGGGUUGUCAUGCCAAUGGCACUGCCCGGUAGCUAAAUGCGGAAGAGAUAAGUGCUGAAAGCAUCUAAGCACGAAACUUGCCCCGAGAUGAGUUCUCCCUGACUCCUUGAGAGUCCUGAAGGAACGUUGAAGACGACGACGUUGAUAGGCCGGGUGUGUAAGCGCAGCGAUGCGUUGAGCUAACCGGUACUAAUGAACCGUGAGGCUUAACCUU
rnacentral:rRNA from 1 species